UACGUAGGGUGCGAGCGUUAAUCGGAAUUACUGGGCGUAAAGCGUGCGCAGGCGGUUUUGUAAGCCAGAUGUGAAAUCCCCCGGGCUUAACCUGGGAAUGGCAUUUGGGACUGCAAGGCUUGGAGUGCGGCAGAGGAGACUGGAAUUCCGUGGUGUAGCAGUGAAAUGCGUAGAUAUCAGGAGGAAUACCGAUGGCGGAAGGCAGGUCUCUGGGCUGACACUGACGCUCAUGCACGAAAGCGUGGGGAGCAAACAGG
rnacentral:rRNA from 1 species